GGUGUGUUCUGGUCGAUGUUUACACAUAGCAAGAAAGGGGUUCCUUCUUUUGAACCCUAAACUCACUAUUUGAUCAAAAUCAGAGGGAAAACAAGCUAGGAAUUUGGGGCUUUUACUAAAUUCGCGAUCACCAAGACAAGGGGGUUUGUAAGUUUGAUCCCGUCAAGCUAAGUGGGAGCUGGCAAGGAAUGGAUCAAACGGGUCAAGUGCGCAAGGAAAGCUCGAACGGACGCAAACCGGGCGAAUAGUAAUUUGGGUAAUUGCGUCGCCAUAAGAAUAUCGAUAAUGAAAGCAAGGAGUCGAAACGGGUCAUUAGGUUGACUCGAGCCAGGUGAAUGUCGAGAGUCCCGAAUGAAGAUCAAGCAUCGAACAAGAACCGAACACACGUUAAACAAAGCUUCCGCAACGUUGUUUUGUCGUUAUUCUAAACGGCGAAUUUAAUCACAUUAUGUAUAUCACUUAAAUUGUAAAAGUUUUUAACAACCCGUAUUUCUGAUGUAUAUGUAAUUAUUAAUUACAUGAUUAUUUCGCUAAAUAUACGUUAAACCU
rnacentral:lncRNA from 1 species